AGCGAACGCUGGCGGCAGGCCUAACACAUGCAAGUCGAGCGCCCCGCAAGGGGAGCGGCAGACGGGUGAGUAACACGUGGGAACGUACCCUUCGGUUCGGAAUAGCCCGGGGAAACUCGGAGUAAUACCGGAUACGUCCGUAAGGAGAAAGAUUUAUCGCCGAAGGAUCGGCCCGCGUCUGAUUAGCUUGUUGGUGAGGUAACGGCUCACCAAGGCUACGAUCAGUAGCUGGUCUGAGAGGAUGAUCAGCCACACUGGGACUGAGACACGGCCCAGACUCCUACGGGAGGCAGCAGUGGGGAAUAUUGGACAAUGGGCGCAAGCCUGAUCCAGCCAUGCCGCGUGAGUGAUGAAGGCCCUAGGGUUGUAAAGCUCUUUCGGCGGGGAAGAUAAUGACGGUACCCGCAGAAGAAGCCCCGGCCAACUUCGUGCCAGCCGCCGCAGUAA
rnacentral:rRNA from 1 species